rnacentral:rRNA from 1 species
UACGGAGGAUCCAAGCGUUAUCCGGAAUCAUUGGGUUUAAAGGGUCCGUAGGCGGUUUUGUAAGUCAGUGGUGAAAGCCCAUCGCUCAACGGUGGAACGGCCAUUGAUACUGCAAGACUUGAAUUAUCAGGAAGUAACUAGAAUAUGUAGUGUAGCGGUGAAAUGCUUAGAUAUUACAUGGAAUACCAAUUGCGAAGGCAGGUUACUACUAGUGGAUUGACGCUGAUGGACGAAAGCGUGGGGAGCGAACAGG